AGUCUGGUGCCAGCAGCCGCGGUAAUUCCAGCACCAGUAGCGUAUACCGAUCUUGUUGCAGUUAAAAAGCUCGUAGCUGAAACUUGGGACUGAGCGGCAGGGUCUGCCGGGACGGUGUGACCGGUCGCUCUUUCCUUCCUUCCGGGUUUUCUGUUUGCGGUUGGGGCUUCAUUGCUUCGCCGCAGGCUCCGGAUCUUUCACUGUGAAUAAAGUAACGCGCUCUAAGCAGGCCUAAUUAUGCCUUGAAUAUUUCAGCAUGGGAUGAUGAAACAGGUCUUUGCGUCUAUUUUGUUGGUUUCUAGAAGGCGAAGAAAUGAUUAAUGGGAACAGUUAGGGGAAUUAAUAUUUAACAGUCAGAGGUGAAAUUCUUGGAUUUGUGAAAGAUUAACUUCUGCGAAAGCAUUUUCCAGAGAUGCUUCCGUCAGUCAAGAACUAAAGUUGGGGGAUCGAAGAUGAUCAGAUACCGUCGUAGUCUCAACCAUAAACUAUGCCGACCAGGGAUUCGGGGCAUGUUAAUUAGACGACUCCCCGAGCACCUUGCGAGAAAUCAUUGAGUCUUUGGGUUCUGGGGGGAGUAUGGUCGCAAGGCUGAAACUUAAAGAAAUUGACGGAAGGGCACACCAAGAGUGGAGCCUGCGGCUUAAUUUGACACAACGCGGGGAAUUUUACCAAGUCCGGACAGAAAAAGGAUUGACAGAUUAAAGCUCUUUCUUGAUUUUUUGGGUGGUGGUGCAUGGCCGUUUGUAGUUGGUGGAGUGAUUUGUCUGCUUAAUUGCGUUAACGAACGAGACCUCAGCCUACUAAAUAGUUAUGCGAACCUUCUACUUGGGUGACGGGGGAGGGACAGUCGCCGCUUUCGGGCGGAGGCAUCCCGCCCCUAGAUCCUUGAUGCGUUCGUAGCAAUACUUCUUAGAGGGACAAUUGGUGUUAAGCCAAUGGAAGUUUGAGGCAACAACAGGUCUGUGAUGCCCUUAGAUGUCUUGGGCGGCACGCGCGCUACAAUGAUCGGUUCAACGAGUUAUUCACCUUUUGCGGAAGCAAUGGGUAAUCUUUUCAAAGCCGAUCGUGUUGGGGAUAGAUCUUUGCAAUUUUGGAUCUUCAACGAGGAAUUCUUAGUAAGUGCAGUUCAUCAUACUGCGUUGACUUCGUCCCUGCCUUUGUACACACCGCCCGUCGCUCCAACCGACAGCAGGAUCCGGUGAAAUCUCGGGAUGGCAGGCAAAUCCGCGCGGGUAACUGUGUGGAUCGCAUGCCAGAACCUGCUUGAACCUUAUCU
rnacentral:rRNA from 1 species